GGGCGUAGUUUAAUGGUAGAACAUGAGCUUCCCAAGCUCAGAGCGCGGGUUCGAUUCCCGUCGCCC
rnacentral:tRNA from 1 species